GAAGCAGGGUCGGCCCCGGGGCCGGAUGGCUUGCCGGUGGUAUUCUUCCAGAAAUUCUGGAACAUACCGAAGCUAGUAAUUAUGCCAAUGUUUCAUGAGGUCUACAUUGGAACUUUUGACAUGUCCCGUAUAAACUAUAGGGUUAUCACCCUUAUCCCCAAAGUAGUUGGCGCUAGAGAUAUCUGCCACUUUCGUUCUAUCACGGUGAGUAAUGUGCUCGAGCGCAUUUUCUCAAAAGUGUGCGCGAACCGUCUAGCCCCUGUAGCAGAGCGCUUGGAUCACCCCCGACAGACGGCUUUUCUGAAAGAUUGUUCAUGA
rnacentral:rRNA from 1 species